rnacentral:snRNA from 1 species
GUUGUAUAUUUGGAGACAUCCAAUAAAAUUAGAACAAUAUAAAGAAGAUUAGCAUGGCCCCUGCGCAAGAAUGACAUGCACAAAUCAAAAAAUAUCCAAAUUUUC